rnacentral:rRNA from 1 species
CCCUUAGAGUUUGAUCCUGGCUCAGAUUGAACGCUGGCGGCAGGCCUAACACAUGCAAGUCGAGCGGUAACAGAUUGAUAGCUUGCUAUCAAUGCUGACGAGCGGCGGACGGGUGAGUAAUGCCUGGGAAUAUGCCCUGAUGUGGGGAAUAACUAUUGGAAACGAUAGCUAAUACCGCAUAAUCUCUUCGGAGCAAAGAGGGGGACCUUCGGGCCUCUCGCGUCAGGAUUAGCCCAGGUGGGAUUAGCUUGUUGGUGGGGUAAUGGCUCACCAAGGCAACGAUCCCUAGCUGGUCUGAGAGGAUGAUCAGCCACACUGGAACUGAGACACGGUCCAGACUCCUACGGGAGGCAGCAGUGGGGAAUAUUGCACAAUGGGGGAAACCCUGAUGCAGCCAUGCCGCGUGUAUGAAGAAGGCCUUCGGGUUGUAAAGUACUUUCAGUUGUGAGGAAGGCAGUAAAGUUAAUAGCUUUGCUGUUUGACGUUAGCAACAGAAGAAGCACCGGCUAACUCCGUGCCAGCAGCCGCGGUAAUACGGAGGGUGCGAGCGUUAAUCGGAAUUACUGGGCGUAAAGCGCAUGCAGGUGGUCUGUUAAGCAAGAUGUGAAAGCCCGGGGCUCAACCUCGGAACAGCAUUUUGAACUGGCAGACUAGAGUACUGUAGAGGGGGGGUAGAAUUUCAGGUGUAGCGGUGAAAUGCGUAGAGAUCUGAAGGAAUACCGGUGGCGAAAGGCGGCCCCCUGGACAGAUACUGACACUCAGAUGCGAAAGCGUGGGGAGCAAACAGGGAUUAGAUACCCUGGUAGUCCACGCC